UGGUGGAGUGAUUUGUCUGGUUAAUUCCGUUAACGAACGAGACCUCGACCUGCUAAAUAGUGACGGUUAGGCUUUGCCUAGCCGAGCACUUCUUAGAGGGACUAUUGGUUUGUAGCCAAUGGAAGUUCGAGGCAAUAACA
rnacentral:rRNA from 1 species